ACAGAGCCAUCCGUGCCGGCAGCCGCUGAUCAUGAAGUUCCUGGCGAUCGUUGUCGUCCUCUUCACCGUGCUCGCCACGGUCAUUGCCGGCCACAAAGGGCACCACUUCAAGGGUCACCACCCUCACCACGGAGGUGGUCAUCACUUCCCGGUUUACCCUCACGGAUAUCACCCCUAUUACCCUCACGGAUAUUACCCCCACGGAUUUCACCACCCCAGUGGAAGUCACCAUUCCAAAGGUCACCCCCACAAAGGCCAUCAUUCUAAAGGCCACCAUUCCAAGGGCCAUCACUCCAAGGGUCAUCAUGGCAAAUAAUCGUUGCGGCGAGGUGACGGCAAAUGCUACAAGGAACAUGGACAAUGGAUAUGGACGCCACAGGACAACCGCCGGGACAACUGGCGCGAUCUGCAGUGCCUACAUUGUCGCUGCGCGAGACCAGCCGCAAUCCCGUUUCUGAGGCACAGUGCUAAUGGUGUUUAGCAUAAUUGUGAAAUAUAACAUGAGAUCC